CCCUUAGAUGUUCUGGGCCGCACGCGCGCUACACUGAUGCAUUCAACGAGUCUAAAACCUGGUCUGAUAGGGCCGGGUAAUCUUUUGAAAGUGCAUCGUGAUUGGGAUAGAUGAUUGCAAUUCUUCAUCUUCAACGAGGAAUGCCUAGUAAACGCAAGUCAUCAGCUUGCAUUGAUUACGUCCCUGCCCUUUGUACACACCGCCCGUCGCUCCUACCGAUUGAAUGAUCCGAUGAAUACCAUGGAUUGAGAGUACGAAUGGGUUCGCUCAUUUCUGCUGCUCGAGAAGUGGAGUAAAUCUUAUCAUUUAGAGGAAGGAGAAGUCGUAACA
rnacentral:rRNA from 1 species